GAUGAACGCUAGCUACAGGCUUAACACAUGCAAGUCGAGGGGUAACAAGGGGAAAGCUUGCUUUCCUUGUUGACGACCGGCGCACGGGUGAGUAACGCGUAUCCAACCUGCCUAUAACUAGGGAAUAACCUUGCGAAAGUAAGACUAAUACCCUAUGACUUCCUUUGAUGACAUCAGAUUAGGAAUAAAGAUUUAUCGGUUAUAGAUGGGGAUGCGUCUGAUUAGCUUGUUGGCGGGGUAACGGCCCACCAAGGCAACGAUCAGUAGGGGUUCUGAGAGGAAGGUCCCCCACAUUGGAACUGAGACACGGUCCAAACUCCUACGGGAGGCAGCAGUGAGGAAUAUUGGUCAAUGGGCGGAAGCCUGAACCAGCCAAGUAGCGUGCAGGGUGACGGCCCUAUGGGUUGUAAACUGCUUUUAUACAGGAAUAAAGUUAGCCACGUGUGGUUAUUUGUAGGUACUGUAUGAAUAAGGACCGGCUAAUUCCGUGCCAGCCGCCGCAGUAA
rnacentral:rRNA from 1 species